GCGGGCGUGGCGAAACUGGUAGACGCACCAGACUUAAAAUCUGUCGACUUCGGUCAUGCCGGUUCGACCCCGGCCGCCCGCACCA
rnacentral:tRNA from 1 species